AUUGAACGCUGGCGGCAGGCCUUACACAUGCAAGUCGAGCGGAAACGAUGGUAGCUUGCUACCAGGCGUCGAGCGGCGGACGGGUGAGUAACGCGUAGGAAUUUGCCCAGUGGUGGGGGAUAGCCCGGAGAAAUCCGGAUUAAUACCGCAUACGCCCUACGGGGGAAAGCAGGGGAUCUUCGGACCUUGCGCCAUUGGAUAAGCCUGCGUGAGAUUAGAUUGUUGGUGGGGUAAUGGCCUACCAAGUCGACGAUCUCUAGCUGGUCUGAGAGGAUGAUCAGCCACACUGGAACUGAGACACGGUCCAGACUCCUACGGGAGGCAGCAGUGGGGAAUAUUGCACAAUGGAGGAAACUCUGAUGCAGCCAUGCCGCGUGUGUGAAGAAGGCUUUCGGGUUGUAAAGCACUUUCAGUGGGGAGGAAAGGUUGCUGUUUAAUAGACAGUAGCUGUGACGUUACCCACAGAAGAAGCACCGGCUAACUCCGUGCCAGCAGCCGCGGUAAUACGGAGGGUGCGAGCGUUAAUCGGAAUUACUGGGCGUAAAGCGCGCGUAGGUGGUUAAUUAAGUCAGAUGUGAAAGCCCAGGGCUCAACCUUGGAACUGCAUUUGAAACUGGUUAACUAGAGUUUUGUAGAGGGUGGUAGAAUUUCAGGUGUAGCGGUGAAAUGCGUAGAGAUCUGAAGGAAUACCAGUGGCGAAGGCGGCCACCUGGACAAAGACUGACACUGAGGCGCGAAGGCGUGGGGAGCAAACGGGAUUAGAUACCCCGGUAGUCCACGCAGUAAACGAUGUCUAUUAGAAGUUUGUGGCUAUAUGCCGUGGGUUUCAAAGCUAACGCAUUAAAUAGACCGCCUGGGGAGUACGGCCGCAAGGUUAAAACUCAAAUGAAUUGACGGGGGCCCGCACAAGCGGUGGAGCAUGUGGUUUAAUUCGAUGCAAUGCGAAGAACCUUACCAGGUCUUGACAUCCCGAGAAUUUACUAGAGAUAGUUUAGUGCCUUCGGGAACUCGGUGACAGGUGCUGCAUGGCUGUCGUCAGCUCGUGUUGUGAGAUGUUGGGUUAAGUCCCGUAACGAGCGUAACCCUUGUCCUUAGUUGCCAGCAUGUAAUGGUGGGAACUCUAAGGAGACUGCCGGUGAUAAACCGGAGGAAGGUGGGGACGACGUCAAGUCAUCAUGGCCCUUACGACCUGGGCUACACACGUGCUACAAUGGUCGGUACAGAGGGUUGCCAAGCCGCGAGGUGGAGCUAAUCCCAGAAAACCGAUCGUAGUCCGGAUUGGAGUCUGCAACUCGACUCCAUGAAGUCGGAAUCGCUAGUAAUCGCGAAUCAGAAUGUCGCGGUGAAUACGUUCCCGGGCCUUGUAUAUACCGCCCGUCACACCAUGGGAGUGGGUUGCAAAAGAAGUGGGUAGACUACCCUUCCGGAGGUCGCUCACCACUUUGUGAUUUAUGACUGGGGUGAAG
rnacentral:rRNA from 1 species